rnacentral:lncRNA from 1 species
AAGAGAAAGGAAAAGAGAAGAAGAGAAGAAAGGAAAGAAGAAAAGAGAGAAAAAGAAAGAGAAGAAGAAGGAGAAGAAGGUCUCCCUCCUCCUCUCCAUCUUCUCCUUGUGCAAGAGAGCAAGCUUAGAGAGGUAAGCCUUGAACUCCUUGGUGAUUUCUUGUGAGUUUAGGGUUAGGGUUUGAGUUUUAAACCCUAGAUCUUUGGUUUUGAUCUCCCUACAAGCUUUAGAACUUCGUAGUAGCCGAAGAACACAUGAAAUCCAUGAUUUCUUCGUAGUGCUCUAAUGGUGGAUUUCUAGGGGUUGUU